AAAGAGAUAGAUUUGGAUAGGAGCGCUUGGAGACUAGCUAUCAAUGUGCCUGAACCUUGAAUUUAUUUCUUUCGGGUUUCAUCUCUAGCCUACCCCAACUUGCUUGGGAAAAAAAGGCUAUGUUGUUGUUGUUGUUGUUGUUUUAACUAUGGUGGAGGUUCUUCUCCCCACCGGUUGAGUUUCUUUUUAGUAUUUCAUACAUUUUCUUUUUAUCGGUGCAAUUCUGACCUACUAUCACCAGGAGUGACAUUACUGGAGAUUUGAAUUCCAAUGAAUUAGAUAAUAAACUGGCUGAUAAUGGCAAUCAUGAGGAAAGGGGCGAUGUAAGUGAAAAUAAGAACUCCAAGAAGGAACUAGCAAGGAAGGAUGGAAGCAAUAGGACAGAUGAAAAUCAGAAUCCCAAUGAGAAACUAGGAAGAAACAGCCUGGAGAAGGGCGAGGUGAAGCCAGAUACUAAGUCUUGUGCAGAAAAACAAGCUGACCUGGUGGGAAGCAGCAAUGAGGGCUAUAGUUCCGCCUCUAAGAAGAAGAAUGUAGACAUUUCAAAAACUGAUGAAAAGAACUCCAAGAAGGAACUAGCAAGAAAUGACAUGGAGGAUAGCAAUAGGACAGAUGAAGAUCAGGUAUAGUCCACAAUGAAAAUUGGGCGGCUAGCUCAAACAAAUUGGUGCCUUUGUAUUCUGCUCAUGGAGCUCCUUAAUGAUAUGCUUUGAAUUAUGAUGAAUCAAUGGCAAGAACCCCAAUGAGAAACUAGGAAGAAACAGCCUGGAGAAGGGCGAGGGGAAGCUAGAUAAGCUUCUCACAGCAAGGCCUUUUUUUGAAGGCUGGUACAGAAGAACAAGUUAACAUGGUGAGAAGCAGCAAUGAGGAUGGUUCCGCUUCUAAGAAGGAGAAGGUAGACAUUUCAAAAAAAAUGUGCAGCUAGGUUAAAUUUGUUUAUGUUCUUCAUGGAAUUUCUUGGUAACAUGAAAUUUAUUUUAGCUGUCUGGAAAAGCUGGUGGUCCCAAAAAGGUUUGUCUUUGUGUGCUCAUCCUGGCAUUCUCUUCUGCUCUGCCAAAUUGAAUUCUAUUAGCAUAUUACUAUCUUUCAAGUAAUCUUGGCCUGAUGACAAACAUAUGCCAUCCCUUCGAUAAAGUUAACUUAUGCAGAACACUAGCCCACUUCCUGUUAUGGUUGCCUUGGCCCUUUUAUACCUGGUUUUCACGUGUUCUCUCUCUCUCUCUCUGAGGAUUUCAGGAUGCUUUACUUUGGGGAAACUGUCGUGAUGUGGUAAACCACAGCCGGGUGGCGGAAUGCACCCGCCUAAGCCAGAGGAUUUCAGGAUGCUUUACUUUGGGGAAACUGUCGUGAUGUGGUAAACCACAGCCGGGUGGCGGAAUGCACCCGCCUAAGCCCAGAGGGUGAGUACUCGGGGGUUACCUAGCGACUAGUUCGAUCUCGCUCAAGAACACGAUGAACACAACAGGUUUAGAGUGGUUCGGGCCGCCGAAGCGUAAUACUCUACGCCCACUGUGUGCUGUAUUGCUCAAGUCCGAAGAGUUGGAGCUGAGUCUAGCGUGCGUCUGUGCGUGUUCUGGAUGGCCUGCUCCUGUGCAGUGAGCGCCUCCCCUUUAUAUCUAUAUCUCAAGGGAGGCGCGUACAUGGCUGCUGGGUCCCCGACAGGUGGGCCCAACGAUGUAGUAUAAAAUAACGUAUUGUUCAUACAUUAUGGCGUCGCAGGCGAAGGAGAUCUCUCUUCUGGAUUUUCUUGUCUGCUCCUCGUCGGGAUUCAGAUGGAGUUGAAUUGGGGCUCUUCUUCUUCUUCUUCGACUCCAGUCUGUUCUUCCCCUUCUUGUUGCUGCUGGUCCUGCGUGUGCAAGUCGCUGGGCAAGCUGAGCAAGAGAAGGCGUGUGGCAAGACCGCCUCGAAAGGCCCGACGGCUGAUGGGCUGUUACGGAGGAUGUGCUGCAGCUUUCCAUUGUUUGCACCUUCGUUCCGGACUGAUGGUGGAGGACUGCGGCUUGUGUGCGCGGUUUGACGAACAGAUGGGGGUCGAUGGCCGGGUCGGAGGUGGAAGAUCUACAGUAGCAGUAGGGACUUGGUUGUAAUUUUCUUAUACCUUGGGGUCCUUUCUGCAAAAGUUGGGUGUACUGAUCCGUUUGCAUCCUUUUUAAUAUAUAUAUAUAUAUGUGCAUCCUCAUCGCAAAAAAAAAGUAAUCAGCCAUCACGUGCUUUUCCCCCCUCUUGUUGACGUCUAAUGUCUUUGCACGUUCGACCCAGAGAUCCAGAAAUAUUAUGCAGUGCAUGAGUGCAAGAACAAGCUAAAAUAAAAUUUGGUGGCACUGUGGCGGGGACGGCUAUCCCUUGUGCUACAGUACCUUUUCUGCGAGUUGGGCUACAGUACCUUUUCUGCGAGUUGUGCUACAGUGCCUGCUUCCAGGUUCCAAUUCCAACCAAGGGAAGGUGCAGGGUCAAAUUCUCCUUGCGCAGAGCUUCUGAUAGCUCAGCUACUGAUCAUGCUAGCAGAUCAAACGAAUUUACACGUAUUUUAUUGGCCACACGGGUCACGUCGAAGGAUCCUGAAAGGCCCAGUCGAUCGGUAAUCAUGCUUAAUCAAGAAACGCAACCUGUUCGGCUAAUCUAUUUUUUACAAUUGACACACGAGCAUGGCCACAACGAGAGGAAAUCAAAAUGAAGAUCCCCAUGUGAGUAACGAGCUCACCUGACGGAGGCGUCGAGUGUCGACUCACCACCAGCCAUGAAAACUUUUUUGUUUCUUCGAGUCGGUUGUUGCUUGCUCGCUUUGCUCACCUGUCCGGUAAAUCGAUGCCGUGCAUUGUAAGAGUUGCCCGAUGCAUGCGUUCCCACCCACGCCUACGCCUCUGCGGUGCGCCAGUCCAAGUCCAAGCAAGCAUCAUGGACGCGAAGAAAAAGGAAGAGGAGGAGCUUCCGGCGCAAGCGUUCGGCAUCCUCGCCCCGACCUGUUUCUUCUUUAACCCCGGGAUUUGCAUCUUGCUUAAUCCGCCGGUGAACAAGGCCCAGAACCAGAAGAAACUAACACCAGACUUUGGCCUGAUUGGUUUCUCGAUCAGGCAGCAAUCAAACAAACAAGAGGUCAGGUAAAUGCCGUCCCGUGCAAGAUGCGGCUAGCAUGCAGACAAUGCAGUGCUAGCUAGUUUAAUACUUUAAUCCGCACGGCGAUCCGGAAAGCGAAGGGCGGCCGUACGCGAGCGAUGGAUCCGCGACGGCGACGGGGCAGCGUGAAGAUCCGCCGCUCGCGGCGCUCGGCGUAGGAUGAUUGCGCGGCAAGGGAGUCUGGUGUGGCAGGGCGCACCGAGACGGAGCCGAAUGGGGAGGAGAACAGUGUGGGAGGCUUUACCCCGAGUGUAAAGCAAGGCCGCCGAAGGCGAGCUCCGCGGGUUACUUCACCGGCUGCCGGGCGCCCUGCCCAUAUACACUAGCUCGCUGCCCAGUGACCGCACCACGCCACCUGCCCCUCGCUAUUCAUUCUCAGCCGCAGCGGCCGGGCGGCGGCCGUCCGUUCGUCACGGCUUGGCUCUCGGCUUCUAGCUUAGGCAUGAGAUGUAGGAGGCGGCCAAGGGUCGGCAUGGGGUGGCUCCGGGCCGUGCUGUCCCCGCUGAGGAGGCUCUGGUGCCGCGCCAAAGCUGUGCAGCGCAAGAAGAGAGGCAUCUACAUCCUGUACGACGACGUCAGGUCGUGCCAAUGCGAGGACGUGCACGUGCUCUGGUCGAUCCUCGUGGAGUCCCACGGCCUGCCGCCGCCGCCGCCGCCGAUGCUGAGCCUGAAGCGGUGACGAGGGGGGCGGUGGGUGCUCCGGCACGGCAACCCCUGAAUAAGAGAAGGUCGAUCGACAUGGCCAUGGGAGGUGAAGUGUGGUAGUGCUUCUGAAUUCUGAUGUACGUAGGAUCAGUGGCUCAUAGCAGUGUGUUUCCGCCGGCGCGGUGUUCUACUGCCGGCCCGGAUCGGCGCCUCUGUUGGAGGCCGCUGAUGAGACCAAGGGUCGAGCGUAGCCGCUGCUCCGGGUGGCUUUGAUGAGUGUGGUGAUGGGCUUCCUGGAGCGCACCCCUCGUUCAUUUGACUCGUUUUCUGCGAGACCUGCAUUUGGAUGCAGUAAGUUCGUUCAUCUAUCUUGGAAUGAACAUAGCAGGAACAAAACUGAACCAUCAACAAUUGUCUGAAUCUGCUGUCAGUAUUUUUGUAUUUUCGCUUAUGUGUACGGUUAACACUCGCUGGUCAGCACCAAUUCUGCGCCGGCAAAUUCGU